rnacentral:rRNA from 1 species
AGUGAACGCUGGCGGUAGGCCUAACACAUGCAAGUCGAACGGCAGCACAGUAAGAGCUUGCUCUUACGGGUGGCGAGUGGCGGACGGGUGAGGAAUACAUCGGAAUCUACUUUUUCGUGGGGGAUAACGUAGGGAAACUUACGCUAAUACCGCAUACGACCUACGGGUGAAAGCAGGGGAUCUUCGGACCUUGCGCGAUUGAAUGAGCCGAUGUCGGAUUAGCUAGUUGGCGGGGUAAAGGCCCACCAAGGCGACGAUCCGUAGCUGGUCUGAGAGGAUGAUCGGCCACACUGGAACUGAGACACGGUCCAGACUCCUACGGGAGGCAGCAGUGGGGAAUAUUGGACAAUGGGCGCAAGCCUGAUCCAGCCAUACCGCGUGGGUGAAGAAGGCCUUCGGGUUGUAAAGCCCUUUUGUUGGGAAAGAAAGGCAGCAGGUUAAUACCCCGCUGUUCUGACGGUACCCAAAGAAUAAGCACCGGCUAACUUCGUG